GCCUAGUUACCUUAGUUGGUAGUGCGUCUGCCUUGUAAGCGCUAGGCCGCGGGUUCGAUUCCCGCCCGGGGCG
rfam:Asian citrus Psyllid, Diaphorina citri - Florida Strain, whole genome shotgun sequence.